rnacentral:rRNA from 1 species
AGAGUUUGAUCAUGGCUCAGGACGAACGCUGGCGGCGUGCCUAACACAUGCAAGUCGAGCGAAGUAUAUCUAAGUGAAGUUUUCGGAUGGAACGAAGAUAUAUCUUAGCGGCGGACGGGUGAGUAACGCGUGAGCAACCUGCCUUUCACAAAGGGAUAGCCUCGGGAAACUGGGAUUAAUACCAUAUAAAACUUACCUUUCGCAUGAAAGGAAAGUCAAAGCGAUAAGCGGUGAAAGAUGGGCUCGCGUCCUAUUAGCUAGUUGGUGAGGUAACGGCUCACCAAGGCGACGAUAGGUAGCCGGCCUGAGAGGGUGAACGGCCACACUGGAACUGAGACACGGUCCAGACUCCUACGGGAGGCAGCAGUGGGGGAUAUUGCACAAUGGAGGAAACUCUGAUGCAGCGACGCCACGUGAGUGAAGAAGGCCUUCGGGUCGUAAAGCUCUGUCCUAGGGGAAGAUAAUGACGGUACCCUAGGAGGAAGCCCCGGCUAACUACGUGCCAGCAGCCGCGGUAAUACGUAGGGGGCGAGCGUUGUCCGGAAUUACUGGGCGUAAAGAGUUCGUAGGCGGUUUGAUAAGUCAGAUGUGAAAGGCGUAGGCUUAACCUAUGUAAGCAUAUGAAACUGUCAGACUUGAGGUAAGGAGAGGAAAGUGGAAUUCCUAGUGUAGCGGUGAAAUGCGUAGAUAUUAGGAGGAAUACCAGUGGCGAAGGCGACUUUCUGGACUUAAACUGACGCUGAGGAACGAGAGCGUGGGGAGCAAACAGGAUUAGAUACCCUGGUAGUCCACGCCGUAAACGAUGAGUGCUAGGUGUCGGGGUAGAAAUAUUCGGUGCCGCAGCUAACGCAAUAAGCACUCCGCCUGGGGAGUACGUACGCAAGUAUGAAACUCAAAGGAAUUGACGG